GGCAGCUCAAAAUACUGUAACAUUAAAGUAAAACGUCAUAAAUUAAAUAAACUGAAAAACACUGUUAUUUAAAGGUAUUUCCUGCAUUAUUAUGAUCAAAUACCUUUAUUGU